rnacentral:tRNA from 1 species
GGGCGAAUAGCUCAGCUGGCUAGAGCACCUGCUUUACACGCAGGGGGUCACAGGUUCGAGCCCUGUUUCGCCCACCA